GGUGGUUCUCGGGUGACACACCCUGGAGUCUGGCUCCCUCCUCUCUGGUUUCAGGUGCAUCACCUGAGAACCACC
rfam:Myotis davidii contig120733, whole genome shotgun sequence.